rnacentral:lncRNA from 1 species
UAUCUAUAUUUCUUGUUCAUGUUUUACUAAGUUGCUUAUAUUUCUUGUUCAUGUUUUACUAAGUUGCUUUCAUUUUAUAACAUAUUUCACUUUAUCGUGAAUUUAUUUUCAAUUUCUUUGUCCAUAUAUUCAUUUCAUGCUUAUAAUGAUUAGACUUGGACUACAUACAUAUUUUUUUACUUUUUCUUCCGCUGCGCUUUUUUUCAUUAAAGCACACGCUUUAUUUGCGCUUGCGCUUAAAGCUCCAACGUACCUUAGAGCUUUUUUGCGCUUUUCGCCUUUGAUAACACUGAUUUGAAAAUAGAAAAACAGUGGCUAGCUAAUAGAAGAAGUUCUACAUAUUCAUUCAUCUUUUAGGAUAGUUCUCAAGCAAAGUUAUGUCAGUUAAACUUGUCCCAUUAUAUGGGGAAAUUUGAAGUGGGAUGGCAUAUUCCAAUUCAUUAAGCACUAAAAUGGACGGACAAAAAGUUCUUAACAUCCAAACCUUAUUGACGUAGCAUCCACAUCAGGAAUUUGAUUCAGCGCCCCAGAAACACUGCAAACAAUGAACAUCACAAUGCGCAUUUUAUCCCGGUGAAGCGCUUAAAAAGAAAGCUUCUCAGUAAGUUUGAACACCUAUUACAAUCAUUGGUUUGGAAUUAAAUGAACAGUGAGGCGCUUGUACAAAUUUCUUAGACUAAAGAUUGAUAUUCAAACAUAAACAGCUACACAACCCUUGUACAUUACAAAGAGUACUAGAGCGUUGGUGCACCACUCCACUUUUUCUUUAAAGUAAUGAACAUAACUAAACUACAUUGAAGGGUGCAAUCCCAAAUGCUGCCUUGGAUUUACCUCAACAGAAAGAAAACCUAAAAUUCAAAGUAUUUGACCUAUCAAAUCAAUAUGGACAAAAAGGGACUUUGAUAUAUGUAUAUCAAAAAGUUAAUGAGGAAAGGAAACAGAAGGAUCAACAGAUAGAAAAGCUUUCCUUGUUUUUUAACUAAAUUUAAUUGUCUUGUGUGUCAAAUCCUUUUUAAGUUUAGAGCAUUCUGAAGCCUUUCCAUUGUUGUUACUAUUUUAGCUUGCGUUUCUUGUAACUCCUUUUACUACUUUAUCUUUGAUAUCUUGUCUUCAAUGCAAAGUACAACAUUCAGUUAUCGUGACUCUACACCCAAACAGACACCCAUAUUCAUUUUAUUUCUGCCAAACUACAACCAAUAUUGCAAGCCACUUUUCCCACGAUACGUAGUUAUAUAGCAGUCAAACUAAUCGGCAUGUUUCUUGAAUUGCUUAGAUACCCUUUAUCUGACUGGAUAUAAAAUGAAAUGCCUCUUGCACACACCCUAAAAACAACAUUUCCACAACUAAAAUUUUCCACCAUAAUGAACCCCAAUCCUCACCCUCCAAGUGAAGAUAGAACCCGUGUUGUCAAAGCCGAAAAGCGUUAAAAAGUGCACCGACUCUAUCGGGCUUUAAGCGCAUAGCAUGAGCAACGUGAGAGCUUUUGUUAAAAACGGUGCACCAAAGGAAAGUAUAAAAAUGUAUAUGCAAUGCAAGAAAAAAGUCACAACCUCAUUCAUAAUGAUUUCCUUAACAGUUAAUAUAUCUUUUUUCCAGAUAUACUUAUUGUUUAGUACCGUUCUAUUCAAGAUAGAAAUUUAUGGGCAAUAAGGCGCACGCCUUAGUGCUUUGCCUAUAUUUUAGUGCAGCCUAAGUGAUGCAAAGCGCCUACCCUGACCUUCUCUGAGCUUAAGGGCCUAAACGCACCUCAAAUGAGCCUUUGACAACACUGGAUAGAACCUUUGGAACAUGUUGGAUGAAGGAAAAUCCACUUUCUCGUCACAUUCUUCUUAAAGAUUUGUCCAUUGACAAGACUAACAUUUUCAAAUUACUUAACAGUAACAGGAAAGAGAGAGUAACUUAGACCUUAAAAUCUAUUAAAUUUGAGGUCCCAAACAGUUCAGAAAGGUUCAUCAAAAUGGGACAAAGUAUUAUCAUUUGAGCAAUGCAUUAGGCAUGUAUCCCAUAAAGACCAGUAGGAAGUCGAACCCACCAUGUAUGCGCUGGCCACUGCAAGAGCUAUUUCUAGCCUAAAGCAUGGCUAAACUACCCAAAAAAAUGCAUUUUUGUCCUCAACCCAUCCCCUAUAGUUUCUUGUUUUUAUUUUAAAAUUUCAGCAUGUGUCCAUUUCCUUGAUCAACCAAAAUCCGAAAGCGACAAAAUAAAAGAGCAAAUGAAUAAUUUAAAGAGCCAAAAAAGCAAUAGACUAAGUACUUGCGAGACUUGUCAAUCUCUAAUACAUAUUGCAGAUUUCGAAUACACACACGUUAACUUUUCUCCGAAUGUACCAAUCUAUAUAAUCCACGCCAACAUUCAGCAAUUUGUAAUUCUUAUUAUAUGAGCUAGAAUUAAAAAAAUGACUAAAAAUGUAAAGAGAAAAGCGUACUGAUGGAGAGAUCGGAAAGUGGAAGAGUUGGAUGGACCGGCAGCGAGAAGACGGCGAGCACGGAGAAGAGAUGGAGCUCGGAGAAUCACCGGAUGACGAAGUCUAGAAAGCGCCAUCGAUCGUUCGCAGAUCCACGCUUCCUUUCUUCAGCUUCUCUAUAUAUAUGUCUUAUUGUGUCCCGCUAUGAAUUUGUUGUUUCAAUAGAGCGAGCGACUUUUUUUUCCUAAUUUUUUGGCUUCUCGGCUCGCUAAAGGACUUACUAGCCGGUAGCCAUAAACUUAGAGCUCCUU